UCGAUUAACGCGAAGAACCUUACCAGCCUUGACAUGUCCGUCGCGGAUUCUGGAGACAAGAAUCCUUCAGUUCGGCUGGACGGAACACCAGGUGCUGCAUGGCUGUCGUCAGCUCGUGUCGUGAGAUGUUGGGUUAAGUCCCGCAACGAGCGCAACCCUCGUCCUCAGUUGCCAGCGGUUCGGCCGGGCACUCUGGGGAAACUGCCGGUGACAAGCCGGAGGAAGGCGAGGAUGACGUCAAGUCCUCAUGGCCCUUAUGGGCUGGGCUACACACGUGCUACAAUGGCGGUGACAGUGGGCAGCGAAGGGGCAACCUGGAGCCAAUCCCAAAAAACCGUCUCAGUUCGGAUUGUCCUCUGCAACUCGAGGGCAUGAAAGGUGGAAUUCGCUAGUAAUCGUGGAUCAGCAUGCCACGGUGG
rnacentral:rRNA from 1 species